GGAUGGUCUCGGUCUCCUGACCUUGUGAUCUGCCCGCCUUGGACUCCCAAAGUGCUGGGAUUACAGGCGUGAGCCAUAGUUCCUGGCCUGACCUUGUCUUUCUUAACUUUGGGUUCUUCCAAUAGGGGAGGAGGCGGCAGCAAAGACAUCUUCACAUCAUCUUGUAUCUAAUGCCCAUUUACUUAUGUGUGUCUCCCAAACAGCUAUGAAAUACACAAGGGCAGGGGAUUACCUCGGUAUCUCCAGAUGAGUGAAAUGCCAUGCACAUCUUGAUGAAAAAGAAUCCUCCCAACAUUUGCAAGUACAUAUUCUGGCAAUGGAAGAC
rnacentral:lncRNA from 10 species